AAAAAGAAUACCAUUUGAACGCCUAAAGUGAGUGUUGAAGAAGAAAGCAUGUUCUUGUCUUUCUGGCUCUGAAAUUUUACUCAUGAAAUGAUAUAUUUUUUAUGCUAGGUCUUCCUCCCUUUCUUCAACAUCUUCAUCCUUGGGAUGUCAGAGUCCCUUUUUCUAUUCUAAAUCUUGCUAAUUGGGAUUGAGACUAAAUUAGUUAACUUUUGAGAGAUUUUCAUUUUUUCUCCCUUUCGAGUAUGACCAGUUUCACCUGUGUAUAUAACUUUCAUAUGGGAAUGCAAAAUUAAUAUUAAGUUUUGAGAAGGU
rnacentral:misc_RNA from 1 species